rnacentral:rRNA from 1 species
AUUGAACGCUGGCGGCAGGCCUAACACAUGCAAGUCGAACGAGUGGCGGACGGGUGAGUAAUGUCUGGGAAACUGCCUGAUGGAGGGGGAUAACUACUGGAAACGGUAGCUAAUACCGCAUACCAUCAGAUGUGCCCAGAUGGGAUUAGCUUGUUGGAGGGGUAACGGCUCACCAAGGCGACGAUCCCUAGCUGGUCUGAGAGGAUGACCAUCCACACUGGAACUGAGACACGGUCCAGACUCCUACGGGAGGCAGCAGUGGGGAAUAUUGGACAAUGGGCGCAAGCCUGAUCCAGCCAUGCCGCGUGUAUGAAGAAGGUCUUCGGGUUGUAAAGUACUUUCAGCUGGGAGGCGUUACCAGCAGAAUAAGCACCGGCUAACUCCGUGCCAGCCGCCGCGGUAAUAC